UGGUUGUGCAAUGGGCGUGCAAAGGGCGUGCAGGGCGCCGAGGGCGUGCGGUGCGUGUUGUGAGUGUGUGUGUGGUGGGUGUUGUGUGUGUUGUGUGGUGUGUGCAGUGUGUGUGUGUGUGUGUGUGUCAUGUGUGGUGUGUGCAAUGAGUGUGCAAUGGGUGUGCAAAGGGCGUGUGGGGCGCCGAGGGCGUGCGGUGUGUGUUGUGAUUGGGUGUGUUGUGUGUGUGUUGUGUGUGUAUUGUGUGCAGUGGGUUGUGUGGUGUGUGUCAUGUUCUGUGUGUGGUGUGUGCAAUGGAUGGGCAAUGGGUGUGCAAUAGGCGUGCAAUGGACGUGCAAAGGGUGUGCGGGGUGCCGAGGGUGUGCGGUGUGUGUUGUGAGUGUGUGUGUGAUGGGUGUAUCACUUGUGUGUGUGGUGUGUGGUGUGUGCUGUGUGUAGUGUGUGUUGUGGGUGUGCAGUGAGUGUGCAAAGGUUAUGCAGGAUGUGCAUGGGGCGUCAAUGUGAGUGUGCAGUGUAUGUCGUGAGUGUGCACGGGGAGUUCAGUUAGCGCAGGAGCUGUGCAGUAGGUGUGCACGUGGUGCAAUGGGUGUGCAGUGAGUGUGCAAUGAGUGUGCAUAGGGUGCGUAGUGCGUACGGUUAGCGUGCAGUGGUUCUGCACGUGUUUUAAUGAGUGUGCAGUGCAGUGAGUGUGCCAUGGGCGUGCUAAGGAAGGGUACUGAGUGUAGUCAGUGUACAGUGGGUGUGUAAUGGGUGUGCAAAUGGUGUGUGUUGCAGUGUGUGCACAUGGGGCAUGCAGUGUUUGUACUCACAUGGUCUGCAUUGCAUGUGUGCAAUGUGUGGUGCAUCUGUGCAUGGGUGUGAGUGUGCAAGGCGUGAACAUUUGUGUAUAGGGGCAGGAUGAAGUGUAUAUGUGUGCAAUUAGACCCUAUUCACACGCGUGUGCAAGGCUUAGUCUGCACAGCACAGAGCAUGCAUGUGCACUGACUGCACGCUUGUGUGUGCAACACUACUUGCCGAGUGUGCAAACACACUCAUGUCUGUGUGCACAACACGUGUGUGAGCCCACAUGCAAUGAGAGUGUGCAAAUGCACACGUGUGUGCAAGUUGUGUAACAGCAACAGCAUGUAUGGUGCAUAGCAGCCUGCUCACGUCUGCUCGCAUGAUGAAUGUGCGUGCAUGUGUUUGUGCAAGGUGUGUGCAACACCAGCAGCGCUUUCAGAACACACGUGUUUGUGUGCUGACACAGUGAGUGUGCAAGGCUGCUUGGUGUGUGAGCACACAUGUAUG
rnacentral:lncRNA from 1 species